AGAGGGUGCGAGCGUUAAUCGGAAUUACUGGGCGUAAAGCGCGCGUAGGCGGCUUUGCAAGUCGGGUGUGAAAUCCCCAGGCUUAACCUGGGAACUGCAUUCGAGACUGCAUUGCUAGAGUAUGGGAGAGGGAAGUGGAAUUUCCGGUGUAGCGGUGAAAUGCGUAGAUAUCGGAAGGAACAUCAGUGGCGAAAGCGACUUCCUGGACCAAUACUGACGCUCAUGUGCGAAAGCGUGGGGAGCAAACAGGAUUAGAUACCCUGGUAGUCCACGCCAUAAACGAUGAGAACUGGAUGUCGGGAGGGUCUGCCUCUCGGUGUCGUAGCUAACGCGUUAAGUUCUCCGCCUGGGGAGUACGGCCGCAAGGUUGAA
rnacentral:rRNA from 1 species